CCUACGGGAGGCAGCAGUGAGGAAUAUUGGUCAAUGGACGAGAGUCUGAACCAGCCAAGUAGCGUGAAGGAUGACUGCCCUAUGGGUUGUAAACUUCUUUUAUAUGGGAAUAAAAUGUUCCACGUGUGGGAUUUUGUAUGUACCAUAUGAAUAAGGAUCGGCUAACUCCGUGCCAGCAGCCGCGGUAAUACGGAGGAUCCGAGCGUUAUCCGGAUUUAUUGGGUUUAAAGGGAGCGUAGGUGGAUUGUUAAGUCAGUUGUGAAAGUUUGCGGCUCAACCGUAAAAUUGCAGUUGAAACUGGCAGUCUUGAGUACAGUAGAGGUGGGCGGAAUUCGUUGUGUAGCGGUGAAAUGCUUAGAUAUCACGAAGAACUCCGAUUGCGAAGGCAGUUCACUGGACUGCAACUGACACUGAGGCUCGAAAGUGUGGGUAUCAAACAGGAUUAGAUACCCGUGUAGUC
rnacentral:rRNA from 1 species